rnacentral:rRNA from 1 species
AAAAUAUAUGAAACCAGGAGGAAAUGGGCAAAACCAUACUUCAGAGGUGUGUUUUGCGCGAAAAUGACAAGCACCCAGCGAAGUGAGAGCUCAAACCACAUGUUGAAAUCGUAUAUGCCCCCUGCAAGCCCAAUGCAUGUUUUCAUUAGGCAAAACAUGAGGUUACAGUUUGACCGCGAGCGGGACGAAAGUUACGAGGAGAAGAAGACCAUGAUUGUAAGUAAUUCCCCCCCCUUCAAAAAUCAGGCCUGGUUUGUUUUAUCGGAUAGAUUCGUUGCCCAUGUCUUUGCCGUGUGUUUUCGAACAUAUAUGUUGCACUUAAAAGUGACCAAAAAGCUGCAACUCAUAUGCUGA